rnacentral:rRNA from 1 species
AUUGAACGCUGGCGGCGUGCCUAACACAUGCAAGUCGAGCGAGGUCCAUCCAGUGGCAACACUGGGGAAGACCUAGCGGCGAACGGGUGAGUAACACGCGAGGAACUUGCCCCGGAGUACGGGAUAACCCGAGGGAACUCGGGCUAAUACCGUAUGCCCUCUUCUGGUCGCAUGGCCGGAUGAGGAAAGAUUUAUCGCUCCGGGAGAGCCUCGCGGCCUAUCAGCUAGUUGGUGGAGUAACGGCCCACCAAGGCAUCGACGGGUAGCUGGUCUGAGAGGACGAUCAGCCACACUGGCACUGAGACACGGGCCAGACUCCUACGGGAGGCAGCAGUGGGGAAUCUUGCGCAAUGGGCGAAAGCCUGACGCAGCAACGCCGCGUGCGGGAUGAAGGCCUUCGGGUUGUAAACCGCUUUCAGCAGGGAAGAAAUUGACGGUACCUGCAGAAGAAGCCCCGGCCAACUACGUGCCAGCCGCCGCAGUAAGAC